GAUUGAACCACCAGCAGGGACUGUCAAGAGUAUCUGCUAAACCGCCUUACGGUGCUUUUAUUUAACAAUAGAGGUAUUGAGCGGCUAAGGAAAAGGGGCGAUGAAAGAAUCGUUUCAGGU
rfam:Tncultured marine bacterium clone I1 maturase gene, complete cds.